rnacentral:rRNA from 1 species
GACGGAGGGGGCUAGCGUUGUUCGGAAUGACUGGGCGUAAAGGGCGCGUAGGCGGUUUUUUAAGUGAGGCGUGAAAGCCCUGGGCUUAACCUAGGAGGUGCGUUUCAGACUGGAAAGCUUGAGUGCGAGAGAGGAAAGUGGAAUUCCCAGUGUAGAGGUGAAAUUCGUAGAUAUUGGGAAGAACACCGGUGGCGAAGGCGGCUAUCUGGCCCGUAAUUGACGCUGAGGCGCGAAAGCGUGGGGAGCAAACAGG